rnacentral:rRNA from 1 species
UUUAUUUGUUUUAUAUCUUGCUCAGGACGAACGCUGGCGGCGUGCCUAAUACAUGCAAGUAGAACGCUGAAGACUGGUGCUUGCACUAGUCAGAUGAGUUGCGAACGGGUGAGUAACGCGUAGGUAACCUACCUCAUAGCGGGGGAUAACUAUUGGAAACGAUAGCUAAUACCGCAUGACAAUUAAGUACUCAUGUACUAAAUUUAAAAGGAGCAAUUGCUUCACUAUGAGAUGGACCUGCGUUGUAUUAGCUAGUUGGUGAGGUAACGGCUCACCAAGGCCACGAUACAUAGCCGACCUGAGAGGGUGAUCGGCCACACUGGGACUGAGACACGGCCCAGACUCCUACGGGAGGCAGCAGUAGGGAAUCUUCGGCAAUGGGGGCAACCCUGACCGAGCAACGCCGCGUGAGUGAAGAAGGUUUUCGGAUCGUAAAGCUCUGUUGUUAGAGAAGAACGGUAAUGGGAGUGGAAAAUCCAUUACGUGACGGUAACUAACCAGAAAGGGACGGCUAACUACGUGCCAGCAGCCGCGGUAAUACGUAGGUCUCGAGCGUUGUCCGGAUUUAUUGGGCGUAAAGCGAGCGCAGGCGGUUAUUUAAGUCUGAAGUUAAAGGCCGUGGCUCAACCAUGGUUCGCUUUGGAAACUGGAUAACUGAGUGCAGAAGGAGAGAUUUACUC